GAUGAACGCUGGCGGCGUGCCUAAUACAUGCAAGUCGAGCGAACAGACGAGGAGCUUGCUCCUCUGACGUUAGCGGCGGACGGGUGAGUAACACGUGGAUAACCUACCUAUAAGACUGGGAUAACUUCGGGAAACCGGAGCUAAUACCGGAUAAUAUAUUGAACCGCAUGGUUCAAUAGUGAAAGACGGUUUUGCUGUCACUUAUAGAUGGAUCCGCGCCGCAUUAGCUAGUUGGUAAGGUAAUGGCUUACCAAGGCAACGAUGCGUAGCCGACCUGGGAGGGUGGUCGCCCACACUGGAACUGAGACGCGGUCCAGACUCCUACGGGAGGCAGCAGUAGGGAAUCUUCCGCAGUAGGCGAGAGCCUGACGGAACAGCCCCGCGUGAGUGAUGGAGGUCUUCGGAUCGUAAAACUCUGUUAUUAGGGAAGAACAAAUGUGUAAGUAGCUGUGCACGUCUUGACGGUACCUAAUCAGAAAGCCACGGCUAACUACGUG
rnacentral:rRNA from 1 species